UACGUAGGGUGCAAGCGUUGUCCGGAAUUAUUGGGCGUAAAGAGCUCGUAGGCGGCUUGUCACGUCGGCUGUGAAAACCCGGGGCUCAACCCCGGGCCUGCAGUCGAUACGGGCAAGCUAGAGUUCGGCAGGGGAGACUGGAAUUCCUGGUGUAGCGGUGAAAUGCGCAGAUAUCAGGAGGAACACCGGUGGCGAAGGCGGGUCUCUGGGCCGGUACUGACGCUGAGACGCGAAAGCGUGGGGAGCAAACAGG
rnacentral:rRNA from 1 species